rnacentral:lncRNA from 1 species
AUGACUUCUACAAUAUGUGCUUAUAUAUUCAAGAUAAAAUUGCUGCAUGAUCAAAUAUAUUUGCAUAUUUUCGUAACUUCUCAAGAUUUAUUUCACAGGUUAGGAAUUAUUUGAAAAACUCCACAGAAAUAGCCUCUUUACUCCUUAGAAUAGGGGGUGUUGGCACGAGACAUAGAUCCGAUCCCUUAUGAGUAUCGGCCAACUCACUACAAGUAUAGGAAGUAUAUAAAAAACUCACGACAAUUAGGUGACUUGCUCCUGAAAAUAAAGAGUACUGACUUAAAAAAAAUUCUACGUGAGAAAGGUAGCAGAUCCUAAUAGGACUACAUAGACUUAAUUCUUUACAAAUAUAGAAAUAUGUAAGCACCUUGAGCAGAAUGGAACACUCUAAGAAAUCUAGAGAAUAAGCUCUCAAGCUUAAUAUAAAAACCCCUAACAUCCCCCAUAAACAUCCCUCGAUAUCUCAAAAAUGAAACGGAAAAAAUUCAUGCUACAAGGAGAGUUGUGAACUUACACUUGAAUCAGGCUGUUAACUUCGGACAUAGUGACAUGCCUGUGUACAUAAAUUAAAUAUUGGCGUGCAUGGUAGGGAUUUGGAGUACCAUAAAAGGGUGACAGAAGCAAACAAUAAAAGAAAUUUUAACAAGAGCUCCAUGACAACAAAGAGAAUAAACAUCCAGAGCUAAAAUGUUCAAGGACAUCCAGAGCUUAAUAAGAGUGAAAGGAAGCGUCUAUGCUGAGUUCUGGACUGCAAAAAGUUGUCUGCAGAAGCCUGCACACAUGCAGCACCAAACGAAUUACUCCCGCUUCGCGUAGUAAUUUAAGUUUUUUUCUUUGAGCAAGCUCAAGCUGCUGUUGCUACAAGCCAAACAACCAAUAUCCCAGGCAAUAUCAAGGCACUUCUAGCAGCACAUGACGUACCAAUGAGGCCUCUCGAGCCAUCAGUUAGUGGCAAAAAUUUGCACCAGUGGAGCGUCUCAGGCCUUAAGACGCCAAGUUCUAGUAUCUACUGGUGACAAACAUGUUUACUUGCUCGUUUAAUUCCUGUACUCAAAAGAAUUGUUCUUUUUUUAUUUUGUAAUUAGUUUGUUGCAGCAACACAAUCAUUCUUUAGCAUUUGUGUGACAUAUGGAGUAUCUGAUUUUGCUUAUUCUAUAUACUCUAUGAUAUUUUGUAUUAAUUUGAAAAUAAUAUAACUUGAUACCCGAUUCCUGAAUAUUGUAAACCAAAUACUAGGUAUCGGAAUCAUUUUCUUUCAAAAAUUUAACCGAACACAUGGGAUGAGGAAUGAUAUCCUAAACCCAUAAACUGGUUCCAAGAGAUCCUAUAGAAUAAACACUUAAACAGGUAAAGUGUGCAAGGGAAAUCACUUAGUAAUAGAAAAAGAACUCUAAAGAAAUAUGAAACUGUUCGAUUGUAAAUGAAUUAGACUGUCCUGCUUAAAUGCCAAAUGGGUCAAAUUGCUUAAAACAGUCCCAAAGAACUUAAAAAGUAUUAGACUGCAUGAAACAGUAUUGGUUUUUUUUAUGCACUCAGCUAUAUACCUUUUAUACAAUAACAUCUUUUUUCACACCAUGAAAGCCGAUUUACAAGCUACACUGAUAGGAAAUAAAAGGGAAGGCUGAAAGAUCUUGAACGAAUUAUAUCUUAUUUACACUACACAUCCUAUUAAUUAUGAACUAUUUUGAACUAAAUCAGCAAGCAAGGAUGUCAGGGAAUGAAAAGGUAAAUGCAAAUCCCUAUGAUCAAAGCUGAAUCCACUUAAUUUCAUUAUAAACUGUGUUUAAUAAAAUAAAUUUUAUGCUUUCUCUUUUAAUAUAUAUAAAGCCUGCCGAUAACAACACUGAUUGCGCCAAAAUGUUAUCUAUUGAUAUACUUAACAUUCACAUGUCUAAGAUUGUAAGUCUAUGUUUCUGUCUUUCUUCGAUCAUUGAGGUGUUAGAAUAGCUCCUCACAGUAUGUCAAUUACUAUCAAUAUGAGCACAUAUUCAAAUAUAUCUUACAAAAUUUAGGUUACUUAUUCAUUGUCCAUGGUGGCCUAGAAUAUACAUCCCUAAAGUUAUAUGAGAUAAGUAAUAACCCCUCGUAAACUGUUAUGCUUAACUUUAUGCACAAAUAAUAUAAUUCUUAAUAAACAGCUCCAUUAUACCUUUAAAAUCAAUUGCAAGCAAACGAGGCGUAUAUGUGUCAAUACCCUGCAAUCCAUAAGCAAAUACAAGUGUAGACAAAAGAAUCACAACCUACGAAGGAAUAAUGACAAACACAAAGGCAAAGCGUAGACGCGUGCUAGCAUAAUUUAUUACUUUUCAGAUAUUAUACUGAAUGUUUUAAAUUAUUCCAAAUUGAUUUCUUGUCAAUGAAAUAUGCAAUCUACAUGAAUUGAUGGUGAACCCAACAAAAGUAGACUAAAAUUAUAAACCCUAUUCAACUGUAAACACAAUGAUAAGUGAUAACCUUAGCGCAUCUAAGAUUAUAUAUCAAAUCAUAUAUAAAAAGCAUUCACUAAUUUAGCAACAAAAAAAGAAAAAAAGCAUUCACUUAUUCCAUUAACUCAAAGUUUAAGAUAUAUUUGCGUGCAUCCUAAACCUAAAAUGCCCAACCAAUUUUUUGUACUUAUCUCUUCCACAAAUAUGUCACAGCAUGGCAGAAUAUAAUGCAUUAUAAUCAAAUUGCCAAUAUACUCUCGUAGCAGCCAAAGAUAUAGUUUUAGAUCCUAUACAAAAAAGAAUCAUCAAAAGUGGGUUUCACAUGCAAAUCUACAAGAUACAUCCUUCAUAUGCCAGAGCAUUUAUUGUGUUAAUAAGUACAAUAUCAAAACUUGUACCUGUUGUGUUUCACCGGUCCGGUAGAGUACAUCCAUAUCGAUGCAUUGAUCCUUGAAGGCAGAAUCAGCCUGGGAAUUCUCAGCUAAUCCAAGCAAUUCAUCCUACAACAAAGAGGAUGCUUGUAAAUUGGCAAUUUGCAAACAAGAAAUACAAUGCUCAUAUCAGUAGACAAUAAUAGUACUCCCCCUGUCCCUCCCAUUUCUUACCAAAUGGGUUGGGCACGGAGGUUAAGAAAUAUGUAUAAAGUAGUGGAAAAGAGAAAGAAAAUUGGGUGAAGUGGUGGGACCCAUUGAUUUUUAAAUGUAUAAAAAGAAGAUAGUGGAGUAGAAGUAGUGUGAAAAGGAAAGAAAAGUGGAGAAGUGGUGGGACCCAUUCACUAUUUUUGGUAAGUUUUGAAAUGUAAAGAAUUGGAUGGGACACCCCAAAAGGGAAAGUGUAAAGAAAUAGAAGGGACGGAGGGAGUACUAUAUAAACAUGCACAUGACUUCUACAAUAUGUGCUUAUAUAUUCAAGAUAAAAUUGCUGCAUGAUCAAAUAUAUUUGCAUAUUUUCGUAACUUCUCAAGAUUUAUUUCACAGGUUAGGAAUUAUUUGAAAAACUCCACAGAAAUAGCCUCUUUACUCCUUAGAAUAGGGGGUGUUGGCACGAGACAUAGAUCCGAUCCCUUAUGAGUAUCGGCCAACUCACUACAAGUAUAGGAAGUAUAUAAAAAACUCACGACAAUUAGGUGACUUGCUCCUGAAAAUAAAGAGUACUGACUUAAAAAAAAUUCUACGUGAGAAAGGUAGCAGAUCCUAAUAGGACUACAUAGACUUAAUUCUUUACAAAUAUAGAAAUAUGUAAGCACCUUG